rnacentral:rRNA from 1 species
UACAGAGGUCCCGAGCGUUGUUCGGAUUUAUUGGGCGUAAAGGGUGCGUAGGCGGCGGAGUAAGUUGGGUGUGAAAUCCCCGGGCUCAACCCGGGAACUGCGUCCGAUACUGGAAGGCUUGAAUCCGGGAGAGGGAUGCGGAAUUCCAGGUGUAGCGGUGAAAUGCGUAGAUAUCUGGAGGAACACCGGUGGCGAAGGCGGCAUCCUGGACCGGUAUUGACGCUGAGGCGCGAAAGCCAGGGGAGCAAACGGG